rnacentral:rRNA from 1 species
AUUGAACGCUGGCGGCAUGCUUUACACAUGCAAGUCGAACGGUAACAGGCCGCAAGGUGCUGACGAGUGGCGAACGGGUGAGUAAUGCAUCGGAACGUGCCCAGUCGUGGGGGAUAACUACUCGAAAGAGUAGCUAAUACCGCAUACGAUCUAUGGAUGAAAGCGGGGGACCGUAAGGCCUCGCGCGAUUGGAGCGGCCGAUGUCAGAUUAGGUAGUUGGUGGGGUAAAGGCUCACCAAGCCAACGAUCUGUAGCUGGUCUGAGAGGACGACCAGCCACACUGGGACUGAGACACGGCCCAGACUCCUACGGGAGGCAGCAGUGGGGAAUUUUGGACAAUGGGCGCAAGCCUGAUCCAGCAAUGCCGCGUGCAGGAAGAAGGCCUUCGGGUUGUAAACUGCUUUUGUACGGAACGAAACGGCUCUGGUUAAUACCCGGGGCUAAUGACGGUACCGUAAGAAUAAGCACCGACUAACUACGUG